UCUUGCGCCAUGAUGGCCACCCGUUUCAACUCCACGCGCGUCAGCGCCAGAUCGGUGGCGAUGCAGGCCAGGGUGGUGUUCUUUCUGCCGCCCUGCGGCUCUUGCACCAUCCAGUCUUCGCCCUGAGCGCGCAG
rnacentral:snoRNA from 1 species